AGGUAACAGUCCAACGCAAGUCAGGCAGCUCUCCUGAGCAGCUCCCCUCCAAGUGGUGACUCAGGAACCAUGGAUGCGCCUGUAUUUAGAGUUCAAGAUACCCUCUGUCUUCUGCAUAUCAUAAUAGAUGAUUAACUAUGACAGAACAAGGAAAAUCAGUGUCAUCAUGAAGGAAAGCAGGGCUGGCCUGGGGCCAAACAU